GCUUGCAGCUAGCUCUCUACAAAUCUCACAUGGUCGCCCACUGAAGCUAAGCAGAGCUGAGCCUGUUCAGAACCUGACUGGGAGACCACAUGGGAAAGCUAGAUUGCUGCCAUAA
rnacentral:rRNA from 1 species